UAGGGUAUUGAACAGAUUUGUUGAAUUUGAUUUUAUAUCAACACUCUGUUUAUGCUCUCU
rnacentral:pre_miRNA from 1 species